AUUCAAUUGAAAUCCACCGCCUUCGAGAUGAGGCUUUCCAGGAUUUCCCUGAAUUCCCACCCAUACUGUGAAUGGACAAUUGUUGAUUAUUUUUAAUUGAUGAGCCGUUGAAAGGGCAAUCACCAAGAAAAGUGAUGGGGCAGAAGAUGAUGUCAUAGUUGGUGGCUGGACUAGGUCGACAGGUGAAGGUGCUGGUUUGAUCAUCGUAAGCGUAACUGGAAAAAAAGCAUCUGGACAGGCGGUCUUGAAGAUAGCUGGAUAAUUCUUGGGCCAAUCUUUACUCUUACAUGUUUGUGGUGUACCAUGAGCUCCUCGACAACAGUAUUGAUCAGUAUUGAACGCAAGACAUGCACUUUUGCAGGCCA